ensembl:lncRNA
GUCUUGAGGGUAGGGCCUUCAAUAAUGGAAUCUAAGGCCAUUUUAAGAGGAAGAGAGCGAUCUAGGAAAGGCCAUGUCAGUAUACAUCAGGAAGGCAGCUGGGACUUCCCUGGCGAUCCGGUGGUUAAGCAUCUGUCUUGCAAUGCAGGGGCUGAAGGUUCUAUCCCUGGUCUGGAACUAAGAUCCCACUUGCCUCCCAGGCAAUUAAGCCCAACUAGAGAAGCCUGCGGAGAAGGCAAUGGCACCCCACUCCAGUACUCUUGCCUGGAAAAUCCCAUGGACGGAGGAGCCUGGUAGGCUGCAGUCCAUGGGGUCGCUAAGAGUCGGACACAACUGAGCGACUUCCCUUUCACUUUUCACUUUCAUGCAUUGGAGAAGGAAAUGGCAACCCACUCCAGUGUUCUUGCCUGGAGAAUCCGAGAGACGGGGGAGCCUGGUAGGCUGCCGUCUGUGGGGUCACACAGAGUUGGACAUGACUGAAGUGACUUAGCAGCAGCAGAGAAGCCUGAGCAUGGCAGCUACUGAGUCUGUAUGCUUGAGAGCUCGUGCUCCACAGGUAGAGAAGUUCUGUGCUUUGCAACUAGAGACCCCCCAGGCCCCAGGAGGAGGAGCCUGCACGCCCUAAUGGAGAUCCAAGGCGGCCAUCUACAAACCAGGAAGAAGGCUCUCACUGAGGACUGAAUUUCCCAGUACCUUGAUCUUGGGACUUCCCAGCCUCCAAAACUGGAGUCCAGAUGACACAGUCAAUACAAAUCAGACUCCUGAGACACAAAGCAGGAUGCAGAAGACUGGAGACUGGACCUGGAGGGACACACCAAGAACAUCGAGCAUGUAAUGAAAGUUUCUUGGGUUUCCCUUGUGGCUCAGUGGUAAAGAAUCCACCUGCCAGUGCUGGAGACACAGGCCCAGCCCUUGAUCUGGGAAGAUCCCACAUGCCCCAGGAUAACUCAGACCGGGCGCCACAACUACUGAGCCUGCGCACUAGAGCCCGAGAGCCACAACUACCAAAGCCACGUGACACCAGAGCCUGUGCUCUUCAAGGAGAGAAACCUCCACGGUGAGAAGCCUGUGCAGCACAAGGAAGAGUGGCCCCCGCUUGCUGCAACUACAGAAGUGUGUGCAGCAACAGAGACCCAGCACGGCCAAAAAUAAAUAAACUGAUUUUUUAAAAAAAGAAUGAAAGCUUCUCGAAAGUUGAGACCGUUGAGCUCAGGGCUGUGUCUCUGACAUCUAUUUUAGUACAUGGUGUAUAGUUGGUGCCAUCUAAUAUCAAAUAUGGUUAAAUGACUAAGUGGGUAAAUGAAUAAAUCAGUUGUUCUUAAGAAGUAUAUUGUCUAGCAUGUAGCAAAAAUAACUCAGAAAUCUUCCAUUUUAAGUAAUAUUUUAUUGAAUUCUUAUCUGAUACUUUGCUAAGAAUUUUACCAGUCUUGCUGCCAAUGAGAGAUGUUUUGGUUUAUAGACAAGAAGAGGGAUAUGCAUAUUUAUAUAAAAUAAAUAUAUGCAUGCAUAUAUUACAUGGGAAUGUGCCUGUGCCUAUAUAUAUAUAUAUAUGAAUGCUAUUUGUGUAGGAA